AUGUUGUAGCUAAGUGGUAGAGCACUUACCUCUCAUUCAUGAGAAACUGGGUUCGAUCCUCAGCACCACAUA
rnacentral:tRNA from 1 species